AUGGUAGCUUGCUACCAGGCGUCGAGCGGCGGACGGGUGAGUAAUACUUAGGAAUCUACCUAGUAGUGGGGGAUAGCACGGGGAAACUCGUAUUAAUACCGCAUACGACCUACGGGAGAAAGGGGGCAGUUUACUGCUCUCGCUAUUAGAUGAGCCUAAGUCGGAUUAGCUAGAUGGUGGGGUAAAGGCCUACCAUGGCGACGAUCUGUAGCUGGUCUGAGAGGAUGAUCAGCCACACCGGGACUGAGACACGGCCCGGACUCCUACGGGAGGCAGCAGUGGGGAAUAUUGGACAAUGGGGGAAACCCUGAUCCAGCCAUGCCGCGUGUGUGAAGAAGGCCUUUUGGUUGUAAAGCACUUUAAGCAGUGAAGAAGACUCCAUGGUUAAUACCCAUGGACGAUGACAUUAGCUGCAGAAUAAGCACCGGCUAACUCUGUGCCAGCAGCCGCGGUAAUACAGAGGGUGCAAGCGUUAAUCGGAAUUACUGGGCGUAAAGGGAGCGUAGGUGGCUCGAUAAGUCAGAUGUGAAAUCCCCGGGCUCAACCUGGGAACUGCAUCUGAUACUGUUGAGCUAGAGUAUGUGAGAGGAAGGUAGAAUUCCAGGUGUAGCGGUGAAAUGCGUAGAGAUCUGGAGGAAUACCGAUGGCGAAGGCAGCCUUCUGGCAUAAUACUGACACUGAGGCUCGAAAGCGUGGGUAGCAAACAGGAUUAGAUACCCUGGUAGUCCACGCCGUAAACGAUGUCUACUAGUCGUUGGGUCCCUUGAGGACUUAGUGACGGCACUAACGCAAUAAGUAGACCGCCUGGGGAGUACGGCCGCAAGGUUAAAACUCAAAUGAAUUGACGGGGGCCCGCACAAGCGGUGGAGCAUGUGGUUUAAUUCGAUGCAACGCGAAGAACCUUACCUGGUCUUGACAUAUCUAGAAUCCUGCAGAGAUGCGGGAGUGCCUUCGGGAAUUAGAAUACAGGUGCUGCAUGGCUGUCGUCAGCUCGUGUCGUGAGAUGUUGGGUUAAGUCCCGCAACGAGCGCAACCCUUGUCCUUAGUUACCAGCGGGUUAAGCCGGGAACUCUAAGGAUACUGCCAGUGACAAACUGGAGGAAGGCGGGGACGACGUCAAGUCAUCAUGGCCCUUACGACCAGGGCUACACACGUGCUACAAUGGUAGGUACAGAGGGCAGCUACACAGCGAUGUGAUGCGAAUCUCAAAAAGCCUAUCGUAGUCCAGAUUGGAGUCUGCAACUCGACUCCAUGAAGUAGGAAUCGCUAGUAAUCGCGGAUCAGAAUGCCGCGGUGAAUACGUUCCCGGGCCUUGUACACACCGCCCGUCACACCAUGGGAGUUGAUU
rnacentral:rRNA from 1 species